rnacentral:rRNA from 1 species
GUGGGGAAUCUUCCGCAAUGGACGAAAGUCUGACGGAGCAACGCCGCGUGAGUGAUGAAGGUCUUCGGAUUGUAAAGCUCUGUUAAUCGGGACGAAAGAGCCUAGUGUGAAUAAUGCUAGGAAGUGACGGUACCGGAAUAGAAAGCCACGGCUAACUACGUGCCAGCAGCCGCGGUAAUACGUAGGUGGCAAGCGUUGUCCGGAAUUAUUGGGCGUAAAGCGCGCGCAGGCGGAUCUGCCAGUCUGUCUUAAAAGUUCGGGGCUUAACCCCGUGAGGGGAUGGAAACUACAAAUCUAGAGUAUCGGAGAGGAAAGUGGAAUUCCUAGUGUAGCGGUGAAAUGCGUAGAUAUUAGGAAGAACACCAGUGGCGAAGGCGACUUUCUGGACGAAAACUGACGCUGAGGCGCGAAAGCCAGGGGAGCGAACGGGAUUAGAAACCCUAGUAGUCC